AAGCUACCAAUUUUACCAUUAGGCACAUCCAUGCUCUCCAUACUUUUUAACAUUUCAAAGAAGAACUUGAGAAAUAAUCUGCUGGCUACAAAUCUAGAUCCAACCUGUACAUUAUCAGAUAUUCUUAUUUGAGGGGAAAGAAAAGAAGAAAAAUAAAAAAAAAAACAACUUUAACACAAACCACAAUACCCUACAGUCAGAGAUUGCAAACAGGAAAUGCUAUGCAGAUGGAGAAAUCUUUGCUUUGCUUCAACAGCUCUGAAGCAAUAACUGCCCUCCAACUGUUUAAUGAGACUCAAGCUCUUAUGCAAGCUAUAGAAUUGUCCAAAGGCCUCCGGAGAGAAGAAACCAGAUGCAUGUGAACAGAUGGUCCCGGAAUCUCCUGAUUACUUGAAAUUAAAACAAGAAUGCCCAUUCCUGGAGACUGUGCAAGAAUCCAAAAUGACCACGUGGGUACAAUAAACCCUUCCAAAGCAGCUCUAUCUCCUCAUCUGAAAGGG
rnacentral:lncRNA from 10 species